rnacentral:misc_RNA from 1 species
GAUGAAGAACGUAGUGAAAUGCGAUAAGUAGUGUGAAUUGCAGAAUUCAGUGAAUCAUCGAAUCUUUGAACGCACAUUGCGCCCUCUGGUAUUCCGGGGGGCAUGCCUGUUCGAGCGUCAUUACAACCCUCAAGCUUUGCUUGGUAUUGGACAUUGCCAGUUUCUGGCAGGUCUUAAAAUCAGUGGCGGUGCCAUUUGGCUUCAAGCGUAGUAAUUCUUCUCGCUUUGGAGAUCCAAGUGGUUACUUGCCAAUAACCCCCAAUUUUUUCAGGUUGACCUCGGAUCAGGUAGGGAUACCCGCUGAACUUAAGCAUAUCAAUAAGCGGAGGA